rnacentral:rRNA from 1 species
AGAGUUUGAUCAUGGCUCAGGAUGAACGCUGGCGGCGUGCCUAACACAUGCAAGUCGAGCGAUUCUCUUCGGAGAAGAGCGGCGGACGGGUGAGUAACGCGUGGGUAACCUGCCCUGUACACACGGAUAACAUACCGAAAGGUAUGCUAAUACGAGAUAAUAUGCUUUUAUCGCAUGGUAGAAGUAUCAAAGCUCCGGCGGUACAGGAUGGACCCGCGUCUGAUUAGCUAGUUGGUAAGGUAACGGCUUACCAAGGCGACGAUCAGUAGCCGACCUGAGAGGGUGAUCGGCCACAUUGGAACUGAGGCACGGUCCAAACUCCUACGGGAGGCAGCAGUGGGGAAUAUUGCACAAUGGGCGAAAGCCUGAUGCAGCAACGCCGCGUGAGCGAUGAAGGCCUUCGGGUCGUAAAGCUCUGUCCUCAAGGAAGAUAAUGACGGUACUUGAGGAGGAAGCCCCGGCUAACUACGUGCCAGCAGCCGUGGUAAUACGUAGGGGGCUAGCGUUAUCCGGAAUUACUGGGCGUAAAGGGUGCGUAGGUGGUUUCUUAAGUCAGAGGUGAAAGGCUACGGCUCAACCGUAGUAAGCCUUUGAAACUGGGAAACUUGAGUGCAGGAGAGGAGAGUGGAAUUCCUAGUGUAGCGGUGAAAUGCGUAGAUAUUAGGAGGAACACCAGUUGCGAAGGCGGCUCUCUGGACUGUAACUGACACUGAGGCACGAAAGCGUGGGGAGCAAACAGGAUUAGAUACCCUGGUAGUCCACGCCGUAAACGAUGAGUACUAGCUGUCGGAGGUUACCCCCUUCGGUGGCGCAGCUAACGCAUUAAGUACUCCGCCUGGGGAGUACGCUCGCAAGAGUGAAACUCAAAGGAAUUGACGG